rnacentral:tRNA from 1 species
GCCUGGGUAGCUCAGUCGGUUAAGUGUCUGACUUCAGCUCAGGUCAUGAUCUCACGGUUUGGGGGUUCGAGCCCCACAUCAGGCU